GUGAGGAAUUUUCCGCAAUGGGCGAAAGCCUGACGGAGCAAUGCCGCGUGAAGGAUGAAGGCCUAUGGGUUGUAAACUUCUUUUCUCAGAAAAGAAUUAUGACGGUAUCUAAGGAAUAAGCAUCGGCUAACUCUGUGCCAGCAGCCGCGGUAAGACAGAGGAUGCAAGCGUUAUCCGGAAUGAUUGGGCGUAAAGCGUCUGUAGGUUGUUUAAAAAGUAUUCUGUCAAAGAUUAGGGCUUAACCCUAGAUAGGCAGAAUAAACUUUUAAGCUAGAGUUUGGGAGAGGCAGAGGGAAUUCCCGGUGGAGCGGUGAAAUGCGUAGAUAUCGGGAGGAACACCAAAGGCGAAGGCACUCUGCUGGGCCAAUACUAACACUGAGAGACGAAAGCGAGGGGAGCAAAUGGGAUUAGAAACCCGUGUAGUCC
rnacentral:rRNA from 1 species